CUUUGAGAAGAGCAGCCAGUGUUGACUGAGGAACACUGAAAGAUAAAAAAUUGGGAACUUGAGCACUUUGCCUCCUGUUUAAUCAUUAGGAAAACUGGGAACUACUUCUACCUUGAAUCUCCUUGCUGAGAUUGCAAAGGUGAUAAACGAGACAACUGAAGUCCCAUCUCCACAUCCUGAAGUAGAGAAGCAACCUUACAUCAUGGAUAAACUUACUCUUUUACAGAUGAUGGGGAGGACAUAAAUCUGUAAGUCGAGUAAAGAGGGUCUGAAGAACAACUACAUCUACAAGGAAGCAAUGCAGAAACAGAAACCUGAAUCAAUAUUCUGUCAAGCCCAUUAAUUAUGCAACUCAUUUUUUACUGAUGUAAGUAGAUCCUUAAUUCUGAAGCAACCUGUGCCUAGGGAAAAGAGCCUGUUAUAUCCCCAUAGACAGCAGCUGA
rnacentral:lncRNA from 1 species